GACGAACGCUGGCGGCGUGCUUAACACAUGCAAGUCGUACGGUAAGGCCCUUUCGGGGGUACACGAGUGGCGAACGGGUGAGUAACACGUGAGUAACCUGCCCACCACUUUGGGAUAACGCUAGGAAACUGGUGCUAAUACUGGAUAUGUGCUCCUGCUGCAUGGUGGGGGUUGGAAAGCUCCGGCGGUUGUGGAUGGACUCGCGGCCUAUCAGCUUGUUGGUGGGGUAGUGGCCUACCAAGGCGGCGACGGGUAGCCGGCCUGAGAGGGUGACCGGCCACAUUGGGACUGAGAUACGGCCCAGACGCCUACGGGAGGCAGCAGUGGGGAAUAUUGCACAAUGGGCGCAAGCCUGAUGCAGCAACGCCGCGUGCGGGAUGACGGCCUUCGGGUUGUAAACCGCGUUCAGCAGGGACGAAGCUUUUUGUGACGGUACCUGCAGAAGAAGCACCGGCUAACUACGUG
rnacentral:rRNA from 1 species